rnacentral:lncRNA from 1 species
AUGUCCAGGGAUAGUCACAGUAAAAUACCAGCUAUUCUCACUAAGAGCCUCAAGGAAGAUUACAGUGUCACUUUGUCUCACAGGGAACUGGCAAAUCAAGGAAUAAACCACAAGAACUGGGUGAUCAGAAACUGUGGCAGAGAUGACAGUCAUCAGAGACACCGGGAGUUCUCCUGCAUGUCAGCAAGGAUUCUGGCAUACAAGACUUUAUUGAUCUCAUCACAGAUGUUAACCCUUCCAGAAAGGCACAGAUGAUUACCUAAUUCAAAAGUUGUUCCAUGUGCUGUCAUACUCCAAGUACUUGAUCUUCGACCUUUAGUCACCAUCACAGAGAAUUCAUACAAGGUAUUUGGUUUUAACCCAGUCACUAAAUAGCUCAAAGUGGUUGCAUUUGCAGUCUGAAAGAAAAACAAAGUGUCAGUAACUUCUGAACUGAGAACCAUCCAUCACCAGCUCUCAGACACCUGUCUCAGGUAAUAUAACCACAGUCAUCAAUUCUCUAACGUUUUUGCUCUGUCAUGCAAUUCAUUAAUCAACUAUUAAGGUGCCACUGUUUUAUCCUGAGCUAGAAAUUCCUUCUGCAAAGAGCAAAAACAUUUAAUAUCAAUUAUAGAUUAAAAAAAAAGAAACAACAAUAUGAGGUCCAGGGCACACUUAUGCAGCAGGCUGAAUCACUGACUACUUGGCAGGGGGUUAAUUUACAGCAUUUCAUUAACUGAUCUAACUAGGAAAAGCAAUGAAGCACAGCUAACAAUAGAAGUCCUUCAUGAAAUCCACAUCUUCCUUCCAAAUUCCUGUUAACAUUUUCAGUGAAUUUUUAACAUACUUAAAAAUAAAUAAAUAAAUAAAAAUCAAGUGAAGGUACAGGUGCUGAGAGACUCAAAGAUGCCAAAGCUUUAUUAACACUUAGGUUUUAUCAGAAAGGAUUGUUAUCUAGGACCAAACACUGAACCACACAUGGUUUGUACUGUGAUUUGUAACUCAGCCAUUUACCUAGUGUUUUUGACCUUUAAAUCAAACUAUCUGAUGGUUGUUAUACGUGACCUAAACAUAAAUAGCAUGUACUUGAGGCGUAUGGAAAAAAUAAAGAGGUUUCUGUAUCUAUCUGUAUUCCUUACCUAGACCUACACAAAUCUAAAUGUAGAAUUCAAAAACUAGUUGUUUCCAAAUAUGGCAGGGUCAUACAACACCUGUAUUAUAACAGGUUUUAUGACUAUUGCCUUCAGAAAAUAACUGUUUUCAGUGAUUUCUUU